rnacentral:rRNA from 1 species
CACAUGCAAGUCGAGGGGCAGCAUGAUUGAAGCUUGCUUCAAUUGAUGGCGACCGGCGCACGGGUGAGUAACACGUAUCCAACCUGCCGAUAACUCGGGGAUAGCCUUUCGAAAGAAAGAUUAAUACCCGAUAGCAUAGUAUUUCCGCAUGGUUUCACUAUUAAAGAAUUUCGGUUAUCGAUGGGGAUGCGUUCCAUUAGAUAGUUGGCGGGGUAACGGCCCACCAAGUCAACGAUGGAUAGGGGUUCUGAGAGGAAGGUCCCCCACAUUGGAACUGAGACACGGUCCAAACUCCUACGGGAGGCAGCAGUGAGGAAUAUUGGUCAAUGGACGAGAGUCUGAACCAGCCAAGUAGCGUGAAGGAUGACUGCCCUAUGGGUUGUAAACUUCUUUUAUACGGGAAUAAAGUGGAGUAUGCAUACUCCCUUGUAUGUACCGUAUGAAUAAGGAUCGGCUAACUCCGUGCCAGCAGCCGCGGUAAUACGGAGGAUCCGAGCGUUAUCCGGAUUUAUUGGGUUUAAAGGGAGCGUAGGCGGGUGCUUAAGUCAGUUGUGAAAGUUUGCGGCUCAACCGUAAAAUUGCAGUUGAUACUGGGCGCCUUGAGUGCAGCAUAGGUAGGCGGAAUUCGUGGUGUAGCGGUGAAAUGCUUAGA